AGCUCCGAGAAUUGUCAGACUGCAAAUCUGAACCAGGCAGGUUGCCCGGGGUUU
rnacentral:tRNA from 1 species